UGAAUACGAGACGCUAAGGCGUCGAAGUAGUGUAUGUCAUACUUCCAAGAAAAGCUUGCACUGUCAUAGAUAAAAAACGCCUGUACCAUAACCGACACAGGUGGGUAGGUAGAGUAUACUAAGGGGCGCGAGAUAACUCUCUCUAAGGAACUCGGCAAAAUAACUCCGUAACUUCGGGAGAAGGAGUGCCUUAUUCGUAAGGUUGCAAUAACAAGAUCCAAGCAACUGUUUAUCAAAAACACAGGUCUCCGCUAAGUCGUAAGACGAUGUAUGGGGGCUGACGCCUGCCCAGUGCCAGAAGGUUAAAGAAGUUGGUUAGCAAUUGCGAAGCUGAUAACUGAAGCCCUGGUGAACGGCGGCCGUAACUAUAACGGUCCUAAGGUAGCGAAAUUCCUUGUCGGGUAAGUUCCGACCCGCACGAAAGGCGUAAUGAUUUGGAUACUGUCUCGGAGAGGGGCUCGGUGAAAUAGACUUGUCUGUGAAGAUGCGGACUACCUGCACCAGGACAGAAAGACCCUAUGAAGCUUUACUGUAACUUGAAAUUGAAAUUGGACUUUAUUCGCGCAGUAUAGGUGGGAGGCGUUGAUUAUAAUCUUGUGGGAUUAUUGGAGCCAUCAGUGAGAUACCACUCUUGUAAUGUUAGAUUUCUAACUUUGAAUCAUUAUCUGGUCAAAGAACAGUUUCAGGCGGGCAGUUUGACUGGGGCGGUCGCCUCCUAAACGGUAACGGAGGCGUACAAAGGUUUCCUCUGAACGGUUAGAAAUCGUAUCUAGAGUGUAAAGGCAUAAGGAAGCUUGACUGUGAGACCUACAAGUCGAGCAGGGACGAAAGUCGGUCUUAGUGAUCUGACGGUACUGAGUGGAAAGGCCGUCACUCAACGGAUAAAAGUUACUCUAGGAUAACAGGCUGAUCUCCCCCAAGAGUUCACAUCGACGGGGAGGUUUGGCACCUCGAUGUCGGCUCAUCGCAUCCUGGGGCGGUAGUACGUCCCAAGGGUUAGGCUGUUCGCCCAUGAAAGCGGUACGCGAGCUGGGUUCAGAACGUCGUGACACAGUUCGGUCCAUAUCCGGUGUAGGCGUUAGAAUAUUGAGAGGAGCCUUCUUUUGUACGAGAGGACCGAGAAGGACAUACCUCUGGUGUACCAGUUAUCGUGCCAACGGUAAACGCUGGGUAGCUAUGUAUGGAGUGGAUAACCGCUGAAAGCAUCUAAGUGGGAAGCCCACCUCAAGAUAAGUAUUCUCAUC
rnacentral:rRNA from 1 species